rnacentral:lncRNA from 1 species
CUCUGUCCUGUUUAACAUUUUUCUGGUGAACAGGACACAAGCACAGAGGGAAUAUUUAGUUGAGAGGUGGUUCCCAAGAGUGUCAGAAGAUAAAAUGGAACCCUGCAGCAAGAACCUGGGAGGAGAGCUAGGAAAUAAGUGCUAAGAGCAAACCCUCUGACAGCCAACCAAACAACAGGGGCAUCUACCUUUCCUGAAGCUACAAGGAAAUGAAAUCUGCCAACAACAAUGUGAGCUUGAAAGUGGAUCUCAACUUCAGAAAGGAAAGAAGCCGUAGAGACAGAUCAACUUGAUUGCCUCCUUGUGAUACCUUGAAUGGAGGACCCAGUUAAAUCAUGCCUAAACUCAAGACACAUGGAAACUGUGAGAAAAUAAAUUUGUGCUUUAAGUCUGA